UACUGUGUUUCUGAACAGUUAAAUACUGUUAAUAUUUUUUACAUUAUAGUAUUGUGUAUUACUCAACAUGAUACUGUAGAAAUCACGGUAAUAAUCCACUACUGUAGAAAAUCACAGUAAACAUUAUACUAGUGUAGAAAAUCACAGUAAUAUUCAUACUAGUGCAGAAACUAUUAUGUUACUGUAGAAAGUCACAGUAACCAUUAUACUACUGUAGAAAUCACAGAUAUAUUCAUACCACUGUAGAAACCAUUAUGUUACUGUAGAAAAUCACAGCAACCAUAUGUAGUACUGUAGUUAAAGGACCAGUGUGUGGGAUUUAGUGUCAUCUAGUGGUGAGGAUGCAGAUUGCAACCAACUGAAUGCUCCUCCCCCUCCCCUUCCAAGCUUGUAGGAGAACCUGUAGGAGAAACUCGCAAAAAGCGCAAAAGGCCCUCUCUAGAACCAGUGUUUGGUUUGUCUGUUCUAGGCCACUGUAGAAACAUGGCGGUGCAACAUGGCGGGCUCCCUGGAGGAGGACCGGCUCCCUAUGUAGAUAUAAAGGGCCAGUUUGGGACUUGACAGCUUUUCAGAUAACAUUAUCUCAUUUAUUUAUUUAUUUUUCCUUAAAAGUAUUUUCUUUUUAAGAGAGAGCUUGUGUUAAUAGGGACUUAUACCCUACAUAAAAGGUUAUAGAUGUGUUUGGAAAGUGACAAAAUCAAAAAGGAGACUUUUUGCACUGUAAUUUCAGAUAUAACUAAGGAAUUAGAAAUCAAUGACUGGGUCAUCAGUCAAACUGUUUUAAUGCCAGCUGUUCCACCAUGGUUACUGCCUCAACCGAUAAUAGAUUUCUCCACAGUGGAACAAGUGCAUUCAAGCAGAAAUGCAUUUAAUUUGCAGGCUUAUGUGAACACUAUGCUACAUGAGAGGUAUGGGCAUUAUGUAUAUGUAAUAUUUAUGUUGUUUAAUUAAUAAAUGUAAUAAUUGAUGUUUCUAUGGGUACCAGCUCAUGUAGGCAUCCAAGGGAAUGAAACAGUAAACCUUCUGGACAAAAAUGGAUUAACAGCAAAUCAGGCAGAGUUGGCAAUACCAAUAAGUAAGGCAGACACCAAAGUUUUCAUAUGGAACAAAAUUGAGAUGCAAUGGCAGAGGAUAUGGGUUAAAGAUACUAAAGGAAAGCCUUUGUAUCAGAUCCAGCAAGAAGUUGGAGAGGGAAGGUCACUGGGGAAAAGUAGGAAAGAAGAGUGUCUGAUUAGUAGGAUUAGACUGGGACACACUAAAUUAAAUUUAUCUCUACACCUCAAUGGGAAGCACCCAAGCAGAACAUGUGAUGUCUGCAAUCAAAUGGAGACUGUGGAUCAUGUCAUUUUUCUCUGUCUUAAAUAUGCAAAUGAAAGACACUUAUUAAGGAACGAACUCGAACGUAAGGGAUUAAACACAUGGACCUUAAAACAAUCUUUGCAAAUAGCUCUGGAAAUUUGGUUUUAAAGUAUGUCUUCACCUAUCUAUAAACACAGUACUGAUAACAAGGAUAUAAGAAGAAUGUAACACAACAGUUGGUGGCAAUAAUGCUCCGUCCAGUUGCAACUCAGCAUUAAAAAGAAGAGUGCUUGUGUUCAUGUCUGUUUUUGUUCAGUACACAGUUGUCAGACGGAUAAUGUGGACUUUCUUGACAUCCUACAGCUUGUUAUCUCUGGCUGCUCACAAGUGUGUUGUGCUAACAUUAUAUUGUUACCUUUUGGUCUGUUAGCUAAAAGAAACCCAUAGUUAACCUGACUGCAUUGUGUUAAACUGAAACAGCUUCAAGUUAGAAAUAUAACUUGUCAACAUGCCUUAACAUUGCAGAUGUUAGCUUUGUAUCUUCUGCAUUAGUUGGGCAUGUGAGAGUACUGUAAAUAGUAGUUACCUGGAUGUAACUCCAGCUCUAUGAGUACUUGCAGAGCCCCCUAACAGACUUCGCUAUUGGUUUACCCUCUGAGGUUCUGCCUUGGCACUUGAGAAAGAUCUUUGCACUCAGUGCCCAAUCAGGAGGUAGGCUCUUCCUCCCGGUGGAGCCAGGAGGAGCCUCAGCCUGAUGCUGCCAACCCAGGCAACAGAAGCAGGAUUCUUGAGAAUCCACCAGCAGCAUAGGUGAGGCACAAGAGAUGUAGGAUCUACCGGAAGACAUAGUUUUCUCUGCAAAACUAAACUCGUAGGCAAAUCGUUCUCAAGGUAGCUGAGUGAAAAAGGGAGAUAACCAGCCAUAAGUGGAGCAACCACUGGGGCAAAGGGGGCAACUGCCCCAGGGCCCACGUUCUGUACCCCAGAGGUAAAAUGGGGAGAAAAUACAAAUCGGGUGCAUUAAAAUGAAAGGAGCGAGACAGUAAGAAAAGUUUAAUUGUAUCCUGCGCUCCUCUUACAUCUUACUUCUCGCCUUGCUCAUCCUUUCAACACAACCACAAUGAUUAUGGAACAGAUAAUCAAGCUAAUGUUACUGCUAGUGCUACUAGCCUGACAGUGGCUAAUGACGAGGCUAGUUUUUAAAAGUGACUGUGAUAUGUACAAAGUUUGUUAACCUGUUCAGAUGAUUUGCUUCUAUGGAGGAUGGUGGGAUACAGAAAUGGACUACAAUAAACUACAGCAGGCUGAGCAGGGACAACAAUUGGUGAUGACCUCUCCUGCUGAUGAGCCCCGUCUUUCCCCAUCAUCCUAGGUCUCACUAUACCAUGAGAACCUGAACCUGAAAUUCUGUGUGUGACCAAAUGGAUGCUGUUGAUGGAGACCUGACUUCACCAUCACCUUGGCUGUCCUCUUCACAUUUUCCUUUAUGUUUGCUGUUGAAUAUCAGGAGGAAACAACAGCAUCACUGGAGUCUGUUCAAUAGUAGCUCUCAUUCAGUUUUCUGAAGAACAUGAAGAAGCAGUGGAGGAUCAAAGUGAAAUCACCCGCCUCCUGACCUGCAAGGAUUCAAAGCUUUUUGGCCCAGUGGACUUGUGUUGCAAAGUGGACUGAGGUGGGCUUAUGGACUCUUUACAGACAAGUACGCAUGCACAAACACCAUUUUGAGGACUCUAAGGACACCUACCUACCUGGUGAUUUGACAUCUCCCACAGUUGAGUUUAGAUUACCAGAGUGUUUUGUUUUAAGGAAAUUACUGUGUCUAGCAAACAAUAAACAAUCUUUUUACAUAUUGGAUAUUUAAUGUUAUCUUUGUAACAUAUGCUAAUGUUUGUAAUAUAUACAGAAGAUACAGAAUGCAGAAUGUUUUCAGAAAUUAUAAGAACUGGAAACACUGAAAAGGAAACAUUCUUAUUUACCGUGUUAAGUUGAUGCCCAUGCAGUCCAAACAUUUCUUGCUGUUGCUACUUUACAUUAAACUCACUGCUGCACUGGUGUAUUGGCUCUCAUCAGCCUUCACUGCCCACAGCGUCUCCCACACUGACAAUUUCAAUCUCUUCUGGGAACACAGACAAUUGUUUAGAAACGAUGGCAUAAAUCCUAAUUGGCUGGGGGCAAAGCUACUAUCCUCGAAUAUUUCGUAUUGUGUCGCCCACUCAGGUGAUUCUCUCUCACACAGCCAAAACAUUUCCUCGAUGUCCACUCAUUCUGAGCAGUCCCACUACUACUGACGUCCCCAAGGUCCUAGCGCUGGUUGUACUGUUUCUUCAUGCUUCUCUUCCGCUGCUCAUGUUGAGCCAGGACCCUCUAGCAACCCUAUAAAUUUCCCUAUUCCAGACACUUCUUUUUGUAAUAGAUCAGCAAAUAAUUUUGGACUUGUGAACUCCUGCAAUAUAAAUACUACUAGGUCCAGCUGCCUACAACUGCCCAGUGCUCCCCGUCGGUCUACUCCUGCCUCUACAAUCCCACUCAUCUACAACAGGCCAUAUUCUCCCGAGAGGCCUCAGUAGGGAGCUCAUACCUGCAACCUUCAUCUGCACACAAUUUUUUGGUGACACACCAAAAAAUUGGCCUUCCCAAUGUAAGAUCCCUUUGUAACAAGUCAUUCAUAAUUAAUGAUCUGAUUGUCUCCAAUAGCUCGGAUGCUCUUGUGGUAACUGAGACAUGGUUGACCCCAACAGACUCGGCUGCCUCAGUAGAGGUUACUUCCCCAAUUUUAAACACUUCCAUCUUCCUCAACCGGUAGUAUCCAAAAACAAUCACAAACCCAAAGUCUUAUUCAGUGUAAUCAGUUCUCUUCUCAAUGGUCCAUUCAGAACAGAUCUGUACCUAAAAAUGACUGGCCAGAGAAAUUUGCUGCUCAUUUUACUGUGAGGACAGAGAGCAUUCAGUCUCAAAUUUACUUUCCCAGUCUCAAACCAUUAACAGCUCACAGACUCCAUUUCCACUGAUGCUUUGCAAAUUUGGCACGUAGGUGGUAAACAAGAAAUAGUACAACAAACAGUCCCUCAUCGGUGGAGACGCUCCUGCACAGAGGAGUGUCAUGAUGACACAGCCGUGACAUCACCGCCCCUUUAAAAAGUGAACGCACCCUGAAGAACACACACUCCAUGUUGAACUGAGCAAGAGGAUCUUCUGUCCUCUGUGAGUCAACUUAACUAAUGGAGGUAUCACCGUGCACGUGUUUUCCAACACCAAUCGGAAGACUCUCCCCUCGCCGGACGAGACGAGACUUCACCCUUGUUCACCCGAACACCGUCCCUGGAUCUGAGAGAGACCGCUACUGCAACCAGCGCUCUCACCUCCUGCAGAAGGAAGGAAAGGAUUUUCCUUCAGGAAGACGCAGAACUUCUCUGCCCCGUUCUUCUUCAACUGAGUUGACUGCUGUUUUCUCAGCCACGCCGCCGAGGACCAGCUUGCCGUAAACCUUUGCCGACAGCGCGAGGACAGCCACCGUCAGCAUCCGAGCCGAGGAACUGAGCCGGACCGAAAGACGGACUUAACACACAUCCUGCUUGCUUUCUGAAGCGACCAAGUGAGAGGCUUAAGUCUGG